rnacentral:rRNA from 1 species
UACGUAGGUCCCGAGCGUUGUCCGGAUUUAUUGGGCGUAAAGCGAGCGCAGGUGGUUUAUUAAGUCUGGUGUAAAAGGCAGUGGCUCAACCAUUGUAUGCAUUGGAAACUGGUAGACUUGAGUGCAGGAGAGGAGAGUGGAAUUCCAUGUGUAGCGGUGAAAUGCGUAGAUAUAUGGAGGAACACCGGUGGCGAAAGCGGCUCUCUGGCCUGUAACAGACACUGAGGCUCGAAAGCGUGGGAAGCAAACAGG